UCACUAUAAUUAAAAACUUCCUGUCUGAAAGCACCUUCUCCUCUCAUCCAUCUUGCCUUCCACUUCCACCACUUCAUCACUCUCCACCGACACUUCUUCCCUUCAAAAAAACCCGAUUAAAUUCAUUCCCAGAUCCCCAUUUUCCUCCAUCGAAGAUCCCAGAUUCCGAUCUCCACUUUCCAUCUAAAGCUUUGAGGAUUUCUGGGCUUCGCGAAUCCCGCAUUCUACUGUCCGAGUCAUCAACGCUCCAGCUCGAAGAGGGCCCGAAUCGCGAUGCUGGAUCAGGUUCUCGGCCCGCUCAACGCGCGCCGCCUCCACCGCGCUUUCCGCAAGGCGAAGCUGACGGUGCUCUGCCUCUUCCUUACGCUGAUAGUGCUGCGAGCCAACAUCGGCGCCGGGAAGUUUGGCACGCCGGAGAAAGAUCUCGACGACAUCCGCGAGACCUUCUCUCACAUCCGCAAGCGGGCCGAGCCGCGCCGCGUCUUGGAGGAAGUUGCCGAGCUCAAAUCGACCGGGAAUGCGGACGCUGGUAGCAAAAACUACGCCGAUUUCGAUAUCAAGAAGAUCUUGAAGGAUGAGGACGACGGCUUCCCCGAAUUCAAGCGCGAUCCAUCGCAGCCUUACUCUCUCGGCCAGAAAAUAUCGGAUUGGGAUGAGCAGAGAUCCGAGUGGCUGAAGAACAAUCCGGAUUACCCCAAUUUCGUCGCUGAGAAUAAGCCUAGGGUUUUGCUGGUGACAGGUUCGUCGCCGACGCCGUGUGAGAAUCCGGUGGGGGAUCAUUACUUGCUGAAAUCGAUCAAGAAUAAGAUUGAUUACACUAGGGUUCAUGGGAUUGAGAUCUUCUAUAAUAUGGCAUUGCUUGAUGCUGAAAUGGCUGGUUUUUGGGCGAAAUUGCCGUUGAUUAGGAAGCUUCUGCUGUCUCACCCUGAGGUGGAGUUUCUAUGGUGGAUGGAUAGUGAUGCUAUGUUUACAGAUAUGGCUUAUGAGGUGCCAUGGGAGAGGUAUAAAGAUCACAACUUUGUUAUGCACGGUUGGGAUGAGAUGAUUUAUGAUGAAAAGAAUUGGAUUGGAUUGAACACCGGUAGUUUCUUGUUGAGGAAUUGCCAGUGGUCGUUGGACAUUCUUGAUUCGUGGGCGCCUAUGGGGCCGAAGGGGAAGGUUAGGGAGGAUGCGGGGAAGAUUCUGACGAGGGAGCUGAAGGGCAGGCCGGUGUUUGAGGCGGAUGAUCAGUCUGCAAUGGUGUAUAUCUUGGCAACGGAGAAGGAGAAGUGGGGUGAGAAGGUUUAUCUCGAGAACCACUAUUAUCUGCACGGUUAUUGGGGGAUUUUGGUGGAUAAGUAUGAGCAGAUGAUUGAGAGCUACCAUCCCGGGUUUGGUGAUCACAGGUGGCCUCUUGUGACUCACUUUGUGGGCUGCAAGCCUUGUGGGAAAUUUGGGGAUUACCCUGUUGAGAGGUGCUUGAAGCAGAUGGACCGUGCGUUCAACUUUGGGGAUAAUCAGAUUCUGCAGAUGUAUGGCUUCACGCAUAAGUCGCUUGCUAGUAGGAAGGUGGUGAGGAUUAGGAACGAGACGAGCAAGCCUCUUGAAGUGAGGGAUGAGCUCGGCUUGCUUCACCCCUCGUUUAAGGCUGUGAAGACGGGUUCUUCUUGAGUGCACAUAGAAAAAAGGGGGUUUUGAGCUGGGGUUUGUAUUUUUAAGUUAUAGUAAUACAUGUCAUUUUUACUUAUAUCCCAUGAUCUUAGAGUUACCGUUGAUGUAUUUCUUUAAUUGUGGCAAUAUCUUCUGUGACAUAGUGUCAUUUUACGUUUGUGAUGAUUGUUCUUCUCCACAUUGCCUUAAAAGGUCAGGCACCAAAUCAAAUUCUUUACUAGCCAUGGAAGUUUACCUUGAGCUUUAAUUAUACCAUGCUAUCUAAUUUUACCACAUAUGUCAUGAUUUGAACAUUUAACUGUAGUUUGGAUUUUUGGUUACGCCUUUUCUGUUGUAAUAUCACUUGCUGAUGUUGACUUUGAGUUGUCGUCUCUGCAAGGUUGCUUGAAAUUUUAAAUUGCUUGCUUUUUAGAGCCAUUUUUCACACUGCAGGUAAUAAAACUAGAAAAGCUUUGUAUAUCCUAGUUGUUAAUCUAUGAUGCUUAGCUUCUCUAAUUUGCUCUGUGGAGUUCUGAUGCAAUGAAUUAGGUACUGUGAUGAUUGAUUUGAAAAGACAACGUAGUCGAGGUUUAGCAUCAGUGUGAGAUGAUUGUUUGUCUUAGGUUUUUCAGCCUACCGUAUUGGGAGCUUGUGUUCUAGCAUCUACCUGUUGAUCUCCCCUGUCUUUAUGUCUGCAAUGGCAGAGUUGCAUUCUGUGUCAUUUACUACUUGCGCGAAAAGGGGGGAAACAGGCUUUUAGGGCGAGGAGCGAGAGGCAAGGCCGUUAUAGAUUCCAUGUGUGCGCUAAAGAUGACGAUUGACGCCUGCACAUGAAAGCAACAUGGGUGGCUGCAAGAUUCAGAUUCAGAUGCCCCAAGGGAAUAAGGUGCUACAUAUUCCAUGUGUGUUAAAGAUGAUGCCAAGAAACAUGGGUGUCUGAAAGUAUUCAGAUUCGGAUUCAGAUGCUCAACAUCGCCCCGAGGGAAUAAGGCACUUCUAAAAGCCAGAUCGACUGGCCGGUUCUUUUGCAAAUCGGUGCUUGGUCUGUUACGUACGGCUCGCACACUAAAAUGAUUUGCUACAAUAUUUUGGCCCAACUAGUGGUGAAAUCAGUCUGAUCGGCUGAACCAUGAACAUUGUAAUAGGUGUAGCCUCUUAAGCUUAUAGUACUUCUUACCAUGAUUAAAAUUGGAAUAAGGUGUAAGCCUCUUAAAGCUUAUAAGAUAUAACUUCUUGCCAUGAUUAAAAGUCUCAUUUUUUAAACAAA